rnacentral:lncRNA from 1 species
ACAAAACAAUAUAAUGAAAUAUAGAGAAAUGUUGAAAAACAACAGUGGUAUAUAUAAUAUGACCCCAAUUUUUAAUCCAACACUACCUUGAUAAAUUCAGACUAUUAAUGCAAUUUUUCUUUAGGAUUCAGGACAUUCUUAAAGUGAACAGUCCAAAUUGUAUUUGCUGUCUAGAAAACCAACAGAAGUGUAGCUUAUCAAGGAAAAAGAUGAGAAGCUCCAUAAAAUUAUAAAAAGGAAGCAACAAAUUCCUGAAAAAUUUAGACCAUGUACACAAUCAAUUCAUAUUGUUCAAAGCAUGAGUCCUAAUUAAUUAGAAUAACAGCAGUAACAACUAUUAAGUACCUGCAUUUGGGAAUACUCUUAUUGCCUACCAAAAAGAAAAAUAAAACUACACCAAUUCAUAAUUUAUGCCAUGCAACUAAUGAGAAAUAUUGAGUUACUUUACAAUCCAUCAUUCACCUAUCUGAGCACAUAAUAUUUUUCAGCCCUAUGAAAUACCAAGUUCUUUAAUAGGGCAUGGAGAUCCCAAAGAUGAAUUAGACAGAAAUCUUGCCCUUAAGCAGGUCAAAACCUACUGGGUGAUCCAGGUAGGUAGACACUGACAUUGAAUGUGAUAAGCUCAACACUGAAGUUGUACAUAAAGGCUACGAAGACAGUGCAGCUGUAGGUCUUGGGUAAAUGGGAAAAGUUUUCAGAGAGGUUGAUUCUAGGCUGUCUUAAAAACUGUGAGGAGGUUGCCAAAUAGACAAAGGAGGGAAAGGCAUUCCCAGGAGAGAAUAACAGGUUCAAAAGCUUAGAGAUGGAAGAGGAUGCUUCCAAUCUGGGAAUCCCAGACAUUUUAGUAGAACUAGAAUGCAAGAUACUAGAUCUGUAGAGAAUGGGAAGAGUUGAAGUAAGCAGGGGGAAAAAGUGUCUUAAUGCUAUUCUAAAUAGUUUGGGUUUCAUAGCAGAGAGCCCAGAAAAUAUUUGGGACUGAGUAGUGACAUGAUCUCAUUUGUGUAUCAGAAAGAUUAUUCUAGGAUGAAUUUGGAGGCACUGAGGCUUAUUUUGGAGUUGGACUUAGACCUGCAGACACUUAUCACUGUUAGAUGGGCCCUUCCAAGAGAAUUUGUAAACAGAGAUCUUGCUCUCAGGAAAUUUAACAUUUAAUUCAUAGAACCCAAAAUCACAGCCUACAGAGAAAUGCACUUUCUUAAGGUAAUGUGUUCUGUUUGCCAGCACUUUGACACAAAGAGAAGUGCUGGCUUCAUAGAAAUAAUUAAUCCUCUUUUUCUGCCACUGGGAUAAACAAAGGAAAGAAAGAAAUAGAUGUUAUAAAAAAAUAAAAUCCAAGGCAGAUCAAAGGGGAUGUGGCGGAGGAUUCAGCAACUGCCACCCUUAAGCAAAGAACAGUAAUGAAGAAAUGAGUUUUGGCAGCCUAGCCAAUGGGAUAUGAAAGAAAUUAAUCCCGAAGGGAUGUAAUGACCUGAAAAAAAUGAUGAGCAAAGUCCAGAAGGAUUAGAAGAAAGAAAAAGGCAGCAGACAGGUAAGAGCCAUUUUCUUCUCUGUCUUGUCUAUCUGAAGGAUAUCAGAUAGUCCUCAGCGAUGGGAGCUGUGGAAAAGCAAGCCAAAGAAUUGAUUUGGCAAAGUCAUUUAAAUUUCUUAUUCUUCUUAUUCAUUUUUUCUCGUUAAGGCAAAGAAUGGUACUUUAAUUUACUGUCAUAACACAGGAACUAGCUAUUGAUAAGAUUAACCUUGUUCAAUCAUGAUGAAAUUCAGUAAACUCAGGACACAUUUUUGGAUACUUUGUUUUCCCAGCUAAAGAUAAGAGUUGCUCCUAAGACUCAGACCUUUAGUAUAAUGUACACUGAUGGUUUUUAUUUUUUUCUUUCCAGAAUGGACUUCAGUGCAACAGGGAAUUAAACUGAAAUCAUUAAAUUCUUUCUGCUUAGCACUUUAGAGAAAAUUUCUAUCAGCCUGCCUAAGGUUGGAAAUGUUUGAGGAGGCAUUUAUCAUGAAAGCCGUGGCCUUUGCUCCUAAAGCUUCGUCUCACAAGUACAAUAACAAAAACUGCUAAUUAAAAGAGGGAAAACAACCAGGAGUCAAACACAAAGGGGCAUCCCUGCCUCAUCAGCACAGAACAAUCGACCGGCUCCCUUCACUGCCCAUGCGAGGCUCCAUGUGAGGAAGCCUGCUCUGCCCUUCCAGGAAGCAGGUGUGGGAAUAGAAGGAGGCACCACUCAUCUUCUGCAGAAAAGCAAAAUGAAGACAUCAUCAGAGAGCAGCACUCAUUGGAAGUAGCUCCUCGGGUUCCCUUCUAAUGUCAGGGUGAGAAUUCAGGGCUCUCUUGAGAGCACUAUUAUGUGCCUACUAUGUGUCAGGCAGAACUGGCUACAAAAUUCAAGGGGCCCAGAGUGAAAUGAAAAUGUGAGGUACCUUGUUCAAUAAUUAUGAAGAAUUCUAGGAUGGCGAGAGCAGAGCAUUAGAGGAAAGGCAAGGUCCUGUGCAGCUGCGCGGGUCACACACCCAUGCAGCCAACCCUGGUGCCAGGCACAGCUAUACCCACAUUAGCUCCUGUCUUUUACUGAAUAGCACAAUAACUCUGCAAUACUGGAGGUUUUUAACAUUAUCCAGGCUUUACAGAAGAAGCUACCGAAGCUCAGAAAGUCAUUUUAUUCAAGGCCAAUCAGCUAAUUAGAGCUCAGGUCUCCUACUAAACACCAGAAUCACAGCUAGCCACUCCACAACAUACAGAGGUCAGUAAACCACUCAACAUUGUAUCUGAACUUCCAGUCUUCCAAUAUCUGAACUCAAUCAGGUAAGUCUCCUAAACACGCCCUACCUGUUCUAUCUGUGCUUUGCUCAGUUUUCACCAAAUAGGUAUUAGCUAAAUAAACAUGUGGAUGAACACAGCAUCCAUUACAAUAGUAAUAUAAUAUUAUCAUACUUACAUUGUAUAAUAUAAUAAUGUACUUCAUUCAAUUCUCUACAUUUUUUAAAGUAUUGUCACAUAUUUUAUUUUUUUCUAGGAAAUUUUUAUUGCUGAGUGUUUUAAAUUAUACUCAUGAUUUAUAAAUUCUCACAAUUCUGAGCCUGCUAUAGGACAAGAGAUGUAUCUGCCAACAUUCAUUCAAAGUUGUUGGCUAAGCACUGUGCUAGCCACUGGGGAUGCAUGCAUAUACACAAAUGCUCUAGUGCAUUUCUUUCCCUUAAAGGCCUUGCCAUCUAACAGGACUGACAGGAAAACUACAGAAAGCACAGUAGUGUGGUAAGUGCACGAGUAGGGUAUGGACAGGCUCAGCAGGGUCUGAAAUAAAUCAGACCUGGGACUUGUGAAAUGUUUACAAAGAACAAGAUGCUUUUUAAAGGUGCAUAAAAGGUGUUUGUUUUGUUUUGUUUUUGAGACAGGGUCUCACUCUGUCGCCCAGA